UACGUAGGGGGCAAGCGUUGUCCGGAAUCAUUGGGCGUAAAGCGCGUGUAGGCGGUUCGGUAAGUCGGCUGUGAAAGUCCAGGGCUCAACCCUGGGAUGCCGGUCGAUACUGCCGGACUAGAGUUCGGAAGAGGCGAGUGGAAUUCCCGGUGUAGCGGUGAAAUGCGCAGAUAUCGGGAGGAACACCAAUGGCGAAGGCAGCUCGCUGGGACGUUACUGACGCUGAGGCGCGAAAGCGUGGGGAGCGAACAGG
rnacentral:rRNA from 1 species